AGAACGAACGCUGGCGGCAUGCCUAAUACAUGCAAGUCGAACGAACUCUUCGGAGUUAGUGGCGCACGGGUGCGUAACGCGUGUGAGUCUGCCCCUUGGUUCGGAAUAACAGUUGGAAACGACUGCUAAUACCGGAUGAUGACGAAAGUCCAAAGAUUUAUCGCCAAGGGAUGAGCCCGCGUAGGAUUAGCUAGUUGGUGAGGUAAAGGCUCACCAAGGCAACGAUCCUUAGCUGGUCUGAGAGGAUGAUCAGCCACACUGGGACUGAGACACGGCCCAGACUCCUACGGGAGGCAGCAGUAGGGAAUAGUUAGGACAAGUGGGACGAAAGCCUAGAUCCAGCAAUGCCGCGUGAGUGAUGAAGGCUUAAGGAUUAGUAAAGUCUACCUUUUACCGAGUAUGAAUAAGUGACAGUACGU
rnacentral:rRNA from 1 species